UUCGCCUUUAUUCCUUUUUCUUCAUCUUUGAGCACAAUCUUCUUGUGUUGAUCUUCGAAGUUUUCAUACUUUAGGAUUUCGGCUUCAUUUCUUCAAAGCCUUUAUCUUCAUUCUUAUCUCAGGUGUGCCUAGGGAUUGAGAAGGAUCGGAAAUCUCUUGAAGUGAUAAAAGUAACUUGUUCCACAAGUAAGCGUAUUGGUAAAGCUUCAAGAGGUGCCCAGAUUUCCGGUGAGUCCUCACUAGGCAGGGACACGACACGUGGCUGAGGCAGUUGACAGACCGGAUUUUGAGUGGCUGUAGGCUACUACCUUUUUGGAGUGUUUGAUGUAUUUUAGUAUUUUCGCAUUUGAUGGAUCAUGAUAUUGAUCCUUUAUUUUGUAUAUGGCCUGUAUAUGUUUUGUACA